CCACGUCUGAGCUGUGUCACUGUGGGUGAGUCACUCAACCUCUCUGAGCCUUCGGUGCAACAUCUGUGAAAAAAGGAUGAUACCUUCCUCGCAAAACUCUUUAAUCCAAUGAAGAAACUCUCAACAUCCUUAUUCUCCAGGCAGUUUGUGUCCUGCCUAAGAAUUCUCAGGCUUCAGUCAUCUGACUGCAAGUGUCUCUGCUAAGGAGAGAAGGACACUGAGGACAAACUCCAAGGAAGGCACUUGCCCUCAGGAACCUCCCAGUAAAAGUAAUAAAAUCUACAAAUUGAAGGGUGGUGUCGCCUCAGGGCUCAUAGGUCCAACAGGCGCUGAAUGCUUAUGAAAGUAUAUCGACGUGGUGUGUGCAUGACGCGGGAGCCUGGGUUUGCAGGUUGCUUCUUGGUUGAAGCCCUUCUAUUUGCUGUGUUCUAAAGGCAGAGAAAUACAAACAAGCCAAUUUUAACUUAGCUGUCACUUCACACGAGCAGACUGGUGGAAAGGGGUCCUGUGUGGGUCGCAGGUAGGAGCUCUAAACGCUGGAGGAGGUGUAAUGCAUCAGCACUUGGAGCACGAUCAUUAGCAUUCAAGGGAAUUCUACAGGCUGCUCACGGUCAGUGCCUCUUUUUCCAAAGUGCAGAAAAACAUACGCAUUUUGCCUCCUAACACUCCACAGAAUGCGUUUGGAGCAAAACUUGGAUGCUCAAGGAAUUGCCAAAAGUUGUUUGCGUGUCUGUCCUGUUUUCGAGCUGCAGAUUCAGUAAGUCAGAAGCAAGAACCCAAAGGAUGAAGGGCUUAAACAGCUGGGGCUGGGAUCUCGCACAAAUCACCUUGGCUUACAAUCUUUCUGGCAGCUCAUUCAGUCUUUAAUUUUUAAAUAAAUUUGUCCGAUUUAUUUUUUUGCCUAACACUCCUCUCCACAGAGUCAAUGGGGCUUUAUCAUCAUACACUUUUUUUUUUAAGCCCCAAGUGUUUGGCUUAGAAAUGAAACAGAAAGUUAGUAUUUGAGAUGCUCCGCUGCUUCCUCAAGUACGCCAGGUGAGAAGCGCCAGGUGAGCAGAGUCGGGUCAGGUGGGAUGGAGGCCCCCAAGUGGGAUCUCUGGUGGGGAAAUACCUUCCUGAUGCUUUACAUGCGGAGCAGGGAGGUGAGGUGCCCUCACUGUUUUAUAGCUUUUGGAGUCAAACCUAAAUCAAGAGACAGAAGUCAAGAUGACUUAAGAGGUCUUGGAAAAAAGGCAGGUCUCUUACAGAAUUGCAUGUUUUUAUACGGCCUUUGCAGAGAGAAAGUUGUGAUUCAGGGUCUGUAAUUUUUAUUUACAGACUUUCAGUUCUGCUCUUGCUUGGUUGAAACCAUUGGUUCCGUCUUUCAUUUCCUGUAUCGCUGAGAGCAGCUUCUCUGCAUUCCUACGGGGUCCGGAUCAGCCCUCGGAUGAGCAGGGCCCAGUCCGCGGCUUCUGCCUGCACAGGGCUGGGGGGGUUCUGGUUCACGUCGGGGGGACCCCUUCCCAACGUGGACGUGAGCGCUGUGAUGCUGGGAUGCGUGGAGAGAGGGCCCGUGUGGACUCCCACAGCCACGCAUGUAACUGAAGACGUGAUACCAAAUGCAGAAGUCGACAAGGGGAGAAAAUGCCAUUUCAUCUGCACGUGGAACUAUGGUUUUGUACCAGAGCGAACAUCAGAAGAUUCGGGGGAACUUGAAAGUUACCUGAGGCCUUUGGCUUAGAGAUUAAAACUUCAUUUUCUAUUCAUUCUAAAUAUUAGGCAGAUUCUGACUCCUCAACAUGCACGAAAAGAAAGGAAGAAAAGAAAAGAAGAGAAAAAUAAAUGGCAUAUUUUUGUGCACUUUGAGAAAGAAGGAACGGGUUAUUACCAGUCUUCAGUAUUCUCCUUAACGCUAGAAAUUAAGCUCGAAUUCCUUGAGCAGAAAACCAGUUUGUAAGAAAAGUCCUGUGAACCCAGAGGUGGAGAGAUGGGGGCCUGGGGGCUCCCUGACUGUGCUGGUCACACUCUUACUGUCACGUCACGAUUAACUACGUCCCCUAGCCUUCAACAUGUCGCAGGUUUUAGAGGACACAUCGCUCGAGGGCAUUCUGAGAAUUACCUAGCACGCAUUCGAAAAAGCAAGCAAAAUGCCCCCUUUUAUCUUUUUAAGAACACAGUGUCUCAAUUAUCUCAUCUUGGGGAUGGACCAGGGGAAAAUCCAGAAAAUGUGAGUUCUGUUAUCUGGCCACUGAGCCCCGUUCUGCCUGAGGUUUGCCUCUCGAAUCCAUCUCAAGGCUAUAUGGUGCAUCCUGGGCCUGAUCCUAGGGAAAGGAAAGAGGGGGUACAGGGGCACCAGCACCCAGAGGACCCCGGAGCCACCCAGCUUUCACCCAGCCUUCCUCGGAUGGGUGGGACGGAGAUGCACAGAGCUCCCCAGCCUAGGGAGCAGGCACAGGGGGAGCAAGAGCCCCCUUUUCCUCCCAGGUCACACCUGGUCCUAAAACCCCCAUCAGGAGGAAGCAGCCUGGGGACACCACAGUGAUAAACGUCUCCCUCACUGACUGUUUUCCUAAGCCCACAGACCUCUCCCUCUCGCUGUGUGUCCUUCACUCCUGGGUGCCCUCAGGGUUCUGCUCUUUCUUGGGUGUGCUCCGCGCUGGGAAUCAGCGCCACUGUGAUGGGGAAGGUGCUGGGGGAGGGGGAGGGCCAGCAUCGCUCCCACAGACCCGAAGGCUCCCCCUGCGAGGGCGGGAAGCUUCUCCUACCUUCCGGGACCGACAGAGUUUAGUUACCUGCACGUCAGGUGCGCGUGGCACCUGCUGCACAUGUCUUUUAGUAAAUGGGUCUCCUGUUACCCAUUAGAGAAUCCUGUCCUCCUUUUUAGGGGAAAUUUCUCUCGUAGGAAAAAUUUAAAACGCUUGUUCACUCAACAUGGUAUUUCAACUUCAAAACUAAAAAAGAAGAAGGGCGUGUCCCCAUUCUGUGCGGAAUAAGACUUUGGCUCUGCAGAUGUGAAUACGUAUGGCCGUUAGCCCCCUGACCAAGGGCAGCUGUCACUUUUAGGUCCCCUUCAGGAAAACGACGUCCCAGGCGAGGACACAGGCCACGGCCAGGGGCAGCGCUUACAGCAGGUGAUACCCGCUUCUCUGUUUCUGCACCUUUCUUGUCUAAUUCAGUGUUUGCUCUUUGCUAAGAGUUUCUGCUCUGCUGUUCUUCCAGACCCCCUUCCGCUGUAGAGGUGGAAACCUGUGCCAGGCUUUCCUUUAUGAAAACCCAAGGUCUGCUUCUGCGUAGCUGAGAGGCUCCCCCCACCCCACCGACACCUCCUCUGCCAAGGACAGUGCUGGCGUUUAAGAACAAAUCUCCAGGAGAAUGAGGGACUGUGACUGUCCGGGAGCUGCAGACCCCCUGCUCCACGUGCCUCCUGGGGAGACACUGAUGGCUGCCUCGGGGGAAGGGCCUGGGCCUGCAGGACAGGCCGGCACAGGCGUCCACCUGUCUGUUUGUCUUUCUGCCCAAGGAGCAAAACUUAGAGGUGCAGCAGGCAAACAGACCCAGGAGGACCCCAGCACAGCGGCUCCCAGGCUCUUCAUGAGAACGCUUUUGUCGUUCGAUCUGUGACUUCUGCUCAGUCAGGAAGCAAAGCGGGACUGUCGUGCAAGACUGGAUCAUUUCUGUUACGUUAGUGACAUCUUUGCAUGGCUGCUCUUUUGGGAGCCUCUCCAGUGGGGAAGUUGUCUAGAGUCCUAGGGAAAAUAAACUCUCCCCUCAAAUUCUUCUACAGCGGUGAAUGCAGGAGGAAAUCAGACCGUCCUCUUCCAUCUUUACUCACCGCGCAUCCUGAGCAGCCAUCUCGGAGCUCAGCAGGUUUUCUCUCCUCUUCCCCGAAACCAGAAUCAAGGAACAACGCGACAGGAAUACAUUACGGUGGAAAAGCCUGCACUUGUAUCAGAGAAUCAACACCCCAGACGUCCUCCUCUACAGUGACAACUGAUUACCGAAAACAAACCGAGAAGCCUGGAAUCCGUGUUUCCCAUCUGGAGGCGCCGCAGCCUGGCUCUCACGGCUGACCUCAGAGAGUGAAAAAUCCUCCUCCAGGAACUGGGCUUCAGUUGACGUGGCAAAGCCUGCGCCCCUCUCCCGGGAGCCACAGGACCCUGCGACGUGGAGCCGACUCCAUCCGGAGCUGCCAGGAGGUGAUUCCCAUGUUGCGGGGUGGGGAGCAGGAGGGGAGGAAUGUGUUUUCAUUAUCAGAAACUGUUUCCUGUGUCCAAAUGUGAUUUCUCUACGCCCUGCAGUCUCCACUCAGUUGGAAGCGGAGGAAAUCAUAGACGCACACAGGAAGGGUUCUCUCCCAGGUUUAAGAUAAAGCCUGAGUCCGCUGUGUCAGUCAAACACCCCGUUCUGUCUCCAGCUCUCUCUCUCUUUCUCCCACCACCUCACCUUCAAUCUUGCCCAAAGCAUUAAACAGUCACUGUAUGUUUUAGGCUAAAUACGCCAUUCCAUUUAUCUGCAAAUUUUAAAUAUAUGUAUUAUAUUUUUAAAAUCUUUUUCUUUGGGGGGAGGUAAUUAGGUUUAUUUAUUUAUUUAUUUUUUAGUGGAGGUCCUAGGGAUUGAACCCAGGACCUCCCGCAUGCUAAGCACACGCUCUCCCACUGAGCUAUGUCCUCCCCUCAAAUAUAUUAACAGGAAUGCAAGUGAAGUGACCCACCUGAAACUUGAAAACUUUGCCUGUAAUCCCUCCAUCCCACGACAGAGAGGUGACAGACAGACAGACAAACAUGACAAUGUAAGUAGAAAAUGUCCAGAAGGAAGCCAAAGAAUAGCAAAAGGAAGAGAAAGCCUGGCUUGAGUUCCCCUCUCCUGACAUCCAAGUCACCACAGAAGGUUCUCCACAUACAUAUGUUAAUCCAACAUUCCUUCAAGCUCCAAGCCCAGGCGCGCAAAGCAGUGCCAGCACCUUUGCUAAGCAAAUGUCAGCUAUCGGCGGCCUGAACAGAGGGCUGUUUCCAGUCCCUGGAGUGACGAUCUGCGCUGGGGAGGAAAGGCCAGCCUGUUUGUCUCCUUCAGCGUUGACUCGACCUGUUCGAAGUGAGAAGCCUGGACGUGAAGACUGUGUGGCUGAGCCGGGCCCCUUCUUUGGGGGCCUGACCCCGCCUAGGGGCUGCCAGCUGGGCUGAGGGUCAGCUGUCAGCCCUCAGUGGCCAUUUGCUUCAGUUGUUCUCCGGUGUCACUACGCUGCCACGAAGGAGGUGGUGUGAUGCAGUUUUGGACUCAGUCUUAAGCUCAAACAAUGGGUCCGGUUGGCUACCAUUUUAUUGCUAUCCUCAAAGUACCUUUGCAAGUUUAAUUAAUGGGAAAUCAACCGUAAAAUUUAUCUAUUAAAAUCAAAUACCGGGGGGCUGGAUUUGCUUUUGUUGUGUAUUUCCUGGUGGUUCAGGUCUUUCUCCUCACUGUUCCCAGCUGGGUUCCCUGACCCUGUCCCAAAGCUCAGGAACAACUAUUUUUAGACCCAGGCAAGCCCCAGGGCUUCAGACGGUAAAUCAUUAGCUGUGACUUUAAAAAUAGUCCUUGAGCCACUUUGGAAACAUUGAUUUCUCCACAGCAUGUGGACUUGGAUUUAUAUCCCACCUUUGCAGCUCAGUCCCCAUAAACAGACUGAACCCAACCACCAAGACUGCCCACAGCGGAUGUCUCAGGGCGGAGACAGAGCUGUAACAGUGGGGCUGCGCAGCGUUUAUAAAACAAACGUCAGGCAUGGCCACAGGCCUCCCCCAGGUUCCUUACUCAGCACCACACAGGCCGGCCGGCACCCAGUCGGAGUCGAGAGUCCACGCUGGACUCCGGGCUUCAUAUUUUAUUCCAUAACGUGCGGUCAGAUGAGGGCGGAACUUUACCUCUUAGAAAGGCCUGGAUGUUCUGAGUCUACACCAGCGAAGUCUCCUGCAGAACUUCUGCCACCAGUUGCUGCCUCUGGUGUUUCAUAAACUCGCCAAAUGUCAGAAUGAUGUCAUUCUGGACUCCUUGUUUGACAGAGAGGAAACUGAGGCCUAGAGAAGGGAAGGGACUGUUAGGAAAGUUGUGGCAAUAUCGCGAUGGCAUGAGAGGGGUCCUGACUCUCGCUGAGCCAUACUGUGAGCAUAACGUUCUGCCUGACGCAGACGGGGGCUGCUUCCCACGCAGUUCAGCAGAACACAGGAACAUGCAUCUGUUAGAGCAUCGCUGCCCUAGAUGCUGUUGGGGAGAUGAGGUAGCGAGGAAAAUUCAGAGUCUCUAUGAUCACGUGGCACAAUUCUACACGUGGUCAAUCUCACCUUUAGCAGGGGAGUAGGAGAGGAGUUACUGCAAAUGUUACACUUUUCAUCAACGCCAACGAUUCUGCUUCCAGAAAAGACUCAGCUUUCUGCUGGUCUAAAGGACAUUUCAAAAACGGAAAAGGAAAAAAAAAGAAGAAGAAGAAAGAAUAAUAGGAUAAGAAGAAGGAGAUUUUGUUUUGGUGCACUUUUUUUCUUUUCUUUCUUUCUUCUUUUUUUUGAGUAGAGGAAGCCCUCUUUCACACCAGAUUUAAAAGGAAGGCGUUUUAGAAGCGACAGAUGCAAAUACCCACCUCCACUGUUUGUUCAGCUUUGGCCAAGUUAGAGGUCAGUUUCCAGUUGUUGACAGGGAAAAGGCUAGCGAGCAAAAUACCUUUAUCAUUAAAUAUUAUCUUGUGAAAAUAUUUACACGGGUGUAAGCAUAGAACAUCGUGCUAAUAAUGGGACACACACAUUUGGAAACUGUAAUCCAGCCCCACGAAACAAUACCCAGGAAAAGCGUCUGUUUUCCUCCCUCCCGGGUGUGCACGAUGCUUAUAGUUCAGGCUUUGCAGAUGUGUGAUGGACGCCUACUUCCAUGGAUUACAAUGGCUCUUGGUCAAAUAGGAUCCUUUUUAUUACUUCCCCAGAUGAAAUGCAAGAGAGCUUGGAGUUUCUGUGAUAAAGUGUCACUCCUAACAAUCAAACUUCAUUAAAAUUACAUUCCUAUUUGGUGAGCAUUCUUGCGUUCCUCCACUGUUGCUCUGUCGCUGCUCUUCUAUGGCUUUUCAUAGUGAAAGAGCAGUGCCAACAAUCAAAGAUAGGGUCUUGGGUGCCUUGUAACUAACUCUCCAUUCCCUGAGAGCCUGGGGGUUGCCCAAGGCCCUUCCCAGUGGAGCUGACACUGAGAAAAGAUUCAUGUGACAAGGAGGAGGGGAAUUGGGGGGAAAAUAAAGUAACUCCUUUUUCCCCUGGGAGUUCCAGGACCUGGCUAUGUGGACUUUCCACACACACGUGAACCAAGCUUUGCACCCAGGGGCGCAUGGUGCAUCACUCUGCCUGAUUUUGCAGUCUCAUCCUCUUCUUAGUCCUCAGAGUUCAGGUUCCUGCCACGGCCUCUUGGCUGAGUCUUGGGCCAGCGGUCCCCAAAGUCCCCUUCACCCAGCUCACCCAAGCCAGGCCAGCUUCCUAAAUGUGGCUUUCACCCUCC